rnacentral:rRNA from 1 species
CGGAACGUGCCUAGGAGCGGGGGAUAACUACGCGAAAGCGUAGCUAAUACCGCAUACGCCCUACGGGGGAAAGGAGGGGAUCGCAAGACCUUGCACUAUUAGAGCGGCCGAUAUCGGAUUAGCUAGUUGGUGGGGUAACGGCUCACCAAGGCGACGAUCCGUAGCUGGUUUGAGAGGACGACCAGCCACACUGGGACUGAGACACGGCCCAGACUCCUACGGGAGGCAGCAGUGGGGAAUUUUGGACAAUGGGGGAAACCCUGAUCCAGCCAUCCCGCGUGUGCGAUGAAGGCCUUCGGGUUGUAAAGCACUUUUGGCAGGAAAGAAACGUCAUGGGCUAAUACCCCGUGAAACUGACGGUACCUGCAGAAUAAGCACCGGCUAACUACGUGCCAGCAGCCGCGGUAAUACGUAGGGUGCAAGCGUUAAUCGGAAUUACUGGGCGUAAAGCGUGCGCAGGCGGUUCGGAAAGAAAGAUGUGAAAUCCCAGAGCUUAACUUUGGAACUGCAUUUUUAACUACCGAGCUAGAGUGUGUCAGAGGGAGGUGGAAUUCCGCGUGUAGCAGUGAAAUGCGUAGAUAUGCGGAGGAACACCGAUGGCGAAGGCAGCCUCCUGGGAUAACACUGACGCUCAUGCACGAAAGCGUGGGGAGCAACAGGAUUAGAUACCCUGGUAGUCCACGCCCUAAACGAUGUCAACUAGCUGUUGGGGCCUUCGGCCUUGGUAGCGCAGC